rnacentral:rRNA from 1 species
GAUGAACGCUGGCGGCGUGCCUAAUACAUGCAAGUCGAGCGAACAGAUGAGGAGCUUGCUCCUCUGACGUUAGCGGCGGACGGGUGAGCAACACGUGGAUAACCUACCUAUAAGACUGGGAUAACUUCGGGAAACCGGAGCUAAUACCGGAUAAUAUAUUGAACCGCAUGGUUCAAUAGUGAAAGACGGUUUUGCUGUCACUCAUAGAUGGAUCCGCGCCGCAUUAGCUAGUUGGUAAGGUAACGGCUUACCAAGGCAACGAUGCGUAGCCGACCUGGGAGGGUGAUCGGCCACACUGGACCUGAGACACGGUCCAGACUCCUACGGGAGGCAGCAGUAGGGAAUCUUCCGCAAUGGGCGAAAGCCUGACGGAGCAACGCCGCGUGAGUGAUGAAGGUCUUCGGAUCGUAAAACUCUGUUAUUAGGGAAGAACAAAUGUGUAAGUAACUAUGCACGUCUUGACGGUACCUAAUCAGAAAGCCACGGCUAACUACGUG